rnacentral:lncRNA from 1 species
ACCCAAGGUCACCAGAAGCCUGGAACAUCAGAGUGAAGGCCAAAUCCCAAUCUUGUGCAUCUCCCAUUGUGCUUCCUGUACAGAAGGCAUGGAGGUAGUACUUAGAAGAGAUUCUCUAGAGAGAUUCAGCGCAUCUUCCUGUAUGACCCUUCUGUAUCUAGGCAGCAAGAACUUUAGCUGAGAACCCAUCUCCAUACCCUCGUCACAAUGAGCUCUCUACAUCUAACAGUCCAUCGUCUUAACAUAUAUGCAAGUUACUGAACACAUGUUCCUGAAACUUCCCAUUACUAUAUUUACUUUCUAUAAAGGGAUCGAAGAUUUUCAAGGGUUAA